rnacentral:tRNA from 1 species
UCCCUGGUGGUCCAGUGGCUAAGACUCUGCACUCCCAAAGCAGGGAGCCUGGGUUCCAUCCCUGGUCAGAGAA